rnacentral:SRP_RNA from 1 species
CCCACGCAAUGGAAACCUGUGAACCUCGUCAGGUCCGGAAGGAAGCAGCGAUAAGCAGUCAUUUUCAUGUGCCGUGGAUACGUC